rnacentral:rRNA from 1 species
UACGAAGGGGGCUAGCGUUGCUCGGAAUCACUGGGCGUAAAGGGCGCGUAGGCGGAUCUUUAAGUCGGGGGUGAAAGCCCAGGGCUCAACCCUGGAAUUGCCUUCGAUACUGGAGAUCUUGAGACCGGAAGAGGUAAGUGGAACUGCGAGUGUAGAGGUGAAAUUCGUAGAUAUUCGCAAGAACACCAGUGGCGAAGGCGGCUCACUGGACCGGAACUGACGCUGAGGCGCGAAAGCGUGGGGAGCAAACAGG